GACGAACGCUGGCGGCGUGCUUAACACAUGCAAGUCGAACGGUGAACCAGAGCUUGCUCUGGGGAUCAGUGGCGAACGGGUGAGUAACACGUGGGCAACCUGCCCAGACUCUGGGAUAACCUCGGGAAACCGAUGCUAAUACCGGAUACGACCACUUCGGACAUCCGACGGUGGUGGAAAGUUUUUCGGCUGGGAUGGGCCCGCGGCCUAUCAGCUAGUUGGUGGGUAAUGGCCUACCAAGGCGACGACGGGUAGCCGGCCUGAGAGGGCGACCGGCCACACUGGAACUGAGACACGGUCCAGACUCCUACGGGAGGCAGCAGUGGGGAAUAUUGCACAAUGGGCGAAAGCCUGAUGCAGCGACGCCGCGUGAGGGACGACGGCC
rnacentral:rRNA from 1 species